UUCUGAGAAACUGGAUUCGUCCAUUCUUAACAACUCUAGGAAAUUAACAUAUUUUGCCAGUGCAAGUUUUCCCCACGUCGACCUUGAUACAUGCUAACGAAACACGUCCAGUACUAUUUAUAAUAUUAUCACAAAUCGGCUAUUUUUUUAUUUUGUAGCUUAACUGCUGUGCACCAUGCGGCUUCUUGGAAUUUACAGCUUGAUGUUGCAUAUUGCUUUAGUUUAUUGCACAGAGUUAACGUUUGUAUUGCCAGAUAACGAUAAACAAUGUUUCUUCGACGAUCUACAGGAAGGAGUCAAGAUCGACAUUGACUAUCAAGUCAUUGCUGGGGGGAACUACGACAUUGACUGUUUUGUUACAGACCCACAGAACAAUGUUCUGUAUCAGGAGAAAAAGAGACAGUAUGACAGCUUCUCGCACACAACAACAUCCAAGGGUGUUUACAAGGUCUGCUUCAGCAACGAGUUCUCCACUUUCACCCACAAAACUGUCUACCUGGAUUUUCGAGCUGGGGAAGAGGCCCCUCUCCUACCUGACAUGAACAGAGCCACCGCCCUCACUCAGAUGGAGUCAGCCUGCCUCUCCAUCCAUGAGAUCUUGAAGGUAGUGACAGACUCACAGACGUGGUACCGGCUCCGGGAGGCACAGGACAGGAUUCGGGCUGAGGACCUGCAUGAGCGUGUGUCUUACUGGUCCAUUGGGGAGACGGUCAUCCUGUUCGUGUCACUUCCUGGCUUUGCACUCAGCAGUUUCCAAUGUGCCAUAUAAAGAAGCGGCCCCUCUACAUGAGCGCUAGGAACACCAUUCUGAAAGCUACGAUGGCUGGUUCAAAGGCAUCUUCAAGGUCAUUUUACAGAAACAACCUCCACAGGACUACUUGCCUGUGGGAGUUUUAUGGUGAGAGAAUGAGAUGUCACUACUCCACGGAAGGGAAAGAUGGACUGGACAUGAUCCUGGAAGGAACCUGCCAAUUUGGACUCCCUUGUUUUGUGUGUGUUGGUGUGGUGAGGAACGAAUGGGAUGUGGGAAGGGCUGAAGGAGAGGUAGAGGAGUGUGGGUAUGAAUGAGUGCUUGUUUUGUCUCGUCUUGUCUAGUAUGUAAAGUUGGAAAAUUGAAAAUGAAAAUAAAAUUCUAUUAAAAAAAUUGAUAACCUGAAGGAUGGAAGGAGUUCUUCGAAAAACUGAUUUGACUCUGCUCUCGUGUUUGUGCAACAUCAAAACAGAUGCAGGUUAUACAAUAAUUUAUUCAAUGGACAUAAAAACUACAGAACAUAAUGAACAAAUCUUAACUGGGAAAGCAAAGUUAGAGAAAAGGUGUGAGUAUGAGUGCAUGUGUGUGCACACAUGUCCUUUGUCCCUGGACAAAAGGGGGAAUGGUGGAAAAUAUUUUGUUGUGUUUGUGUAGUGUGUACGUAGGUAUCAACGAGGCUAAAUAACUUUAAAUACAAAGGAGUAUCACUCCCGGUAGUGGUGGAAAGGGACGCACAGCUUAUAAUAAGCAAUACCGGCAACUGAGCUGGUUAUUCGCUCACUACCGACUAAACUGAUAUUGUUAGUUAAAGAGUAAGUAGGAGUUUGAGUUGAAGAGUUAGCUGGUAGAAAAGAAAACCACAUGUAGCUGUAGACAGGGAAUCGAUUCAUGUAACUACAGUUAUCAGAAAACAAGGAGUAAUAGAAUACACAGAAUUAGAUUAAAUUCAGUCAGGACUAAACCAAACUGCUAUAGCCUGGAAAGUUUGGUCAGUCUUACUGUUCUCAUGUUGACCCGGUGGUUGUUGUUCAGUCAACGGGAGAACACGCUGGUGGAGUCAGACUCUUGCGGAGGUUUCAGAUGUGGUCAGCACAAGCUGGAGUCUUUUGCCAUGUGCAGGGCGACUUCUCGUCCAGACAGUCAACUGAAGAAGUCCCUUUAGCUGGUUGGAAAAGUUAGUUUCACUGCAGUUUCUUGUGGUUGGCUAACAUGUUACUGAGUGUAUGCUAGGUUCCACGUCAGUUAAGGUCCUUUGUCAAGGCAGCACCUAUUUACGGUGAACAGUGCUCUUUAUCUGUUUUGUUCACUGAAAGGCUCAUGGUAUCCUUGUUGUCAGCAUAUGAAUUACAAGCCAGAAUUUGAGAAGCUGAAGAUGUGGUAUGAGCACCGGCUAAUUGAUGAGAAGGUGGCGCUGAUGAUUUAUGUCAUCUGGCGCCUUUGUGUGGGGGUGCAAGAACUACAACGGAAAUGUACAGUCAGAUAUCCUGGCGCAGGUGAGUGAUAUCGGGGGCUGGUGGUGAGGUUUGGGGGGAGGACAAGGUGGUCAAUAGGAAUAAUGUCUGAAAUUCUUCUAGGUGCUAUAUGCUUCUCCGGGGAUGGGAACCAUGCAUACGUGGUAUUCACUCUUCCCAUGACGAGCCACAGGAUAUGUGGGUGUCAUUGUUAUUCUGUGCUUAACUGAACAAUCAAAGCUGUUAAUAACAGUUAACUUCCCUCACCUAGUUUCUUGGGUCUGAAUUGGUUGUUGAUUAUAAGCUGAAAUCACAAACCAUCAGAGCCUGUAGCUCUCCAUGGGGAUAGGAGUGAAUAGUAGUGGCUGUAGAGACCCCCAGGUUCUCUACUGAGGUUAUACAGUUGAGGCCAAAAGUUAAAGACUAAAGGUUAAAGACAUUCAAACUCAAUUUUUCACAACUCCACACAUUUCAUUUUACCAUACAUUUCCUGUGAGAAGUCAGUUAGGGUAUCUACUUUAUUUCCAUAAGAGAGAGAGAGUCAUUUCAAAAUAUUAGCUAAAAGACUUUAUGUAGCUUUUAUGUACUAGACCAGAUUUUCAGUGGGUCAAAAGUUUACAUACACUUUGUUAGUAUUUGGUGGCAUUUCCUUUUAAUUGCUUAAUUUGAAUCAAACUCUAGGGGUAGGCUUCCACAAGCUUCUCACAAUACUUUGCCGGAAUUUUUGCCUAUUCCUCCGGACAGAACUGGUGCUCCUUGCUCAGACAUGCUUUUUCAGUUCAGUCCACAAAUUUCCUAUGGGAUUCAGGUCAGGGCUUUGAGAUGGCCACUCUAUAACUUUCACUUUGUUGUCUUUAAGCCAAAUUUGGAUGUAUGCUUAGGAUCAUAGCCGCCUUGAACAAUAGGCCUCGCUGAUCAGGCCUGAGUGUGUACUGUUGUCUGUCAUUGUAUUCUGUUACUGUGUGCUGUUGUAUGUACUUGUGGCAAUGGGUAAAGGUAAGUAGCCUGACUACGGCACCUUGGGAAUUUCACCCAAGGAGAUAACCAAUUCGGACACUUUACAACAGUUUGCAGGUUAUUUCAUUGAAAGAAGACAGAGGCGUGGUUCAAAAGAAAUUAUUUUAACUUUUAUUGAGAUUUAAGAGGGCUGGAAGUGCCUGUAUGGAAGAAAAUAGCCAAUACGAUUAGAAGCUACAAGAAAAUAGCAGAACAAUUUAAGCAACGAUACCAAACUUUUAUUAAUUUAACA